rnacentral:rRNA from 1 species
GACGAAGGUGGCAAGCGUUGUUCGGUAUCACUGGGCUUAAAGCGUGUGUAGGCGGAAGCGUCAGCGUUUUGUGAAAUCCCCCGGCUCAACCGGGGAAUUGCUUGACGAACUGCGCUUCUUGAGGCAGGUAAGGGUGCGCGGAACUCUUGGUGGAGCGGUGGAAUGCGUAGAUAUCAAGAGGAACGCCGGUGGUGAAGACGGUGCACUGGGCCUGACCUGACGCUGAGACACGAAAGCGUGGGGAGCGAACGGGAUUAGAUACCCCGGUAGUCCACGCCGUAAACGAUGUCUACUAGGUUGUGGCGGUUCUGACGCCGGCACAGCCGAAGCAAAAGUGUUAAGUAGACCGCCUGGGGAGUACGGUCGCAAGGCUAAAACUCAAAGGAAUUGACGGGGGCUCACACAAGCGGUGGAGCAUGUGGAUUAAUUCGAAGCAACGCGCAGAACCUUACCUGGGUUUGACAUGCUUGGAUGCCGCCCUGGAAACAGGGUUGGCUGCCUUCGGGUGAAACUUGCACAGGUGCUGCAUGGCUGUCGUCAGCUCGUGUCGUGAGAUGUCGGGUUAAGUCCUUUAACGAGCGAAACCCUUACCGUUAGUUGCCAGCGGGUCAGGCCGGGGACUCUAACGGGACUGCCGGUGUUAAACCGGAGGAAGGUGGGGAUGACGUCAAGUCAUCAUGGCCUUUAUGCCCAGGGCCUCACACGUGCUACAAUGGUCGGGACAGAGCGACGCGAGACCGUGAGGUGGAGCCAAUCGCAAAAACCCGGCCCCAGUUCGGAUUGCAGGCUGGCAACUCGCCUGCAUGAAGGUGGAAUCGCUAGUAAUCGCGUAUCAGCUAUGACGCGGUGAAUGUGUUCCUGAGC